CCUACGGGUGGCUGCAGUGGGGAAUAUUGCACAAUGGGGGAAACUCUGAUGCAGCAACGCCGCGUGAAGGAAGACGGUUUUCGGAUUGUAAACUUCUGUUCUUAGUGAAGAAUAAUGACGGUAGCUAAGGAGCAAGCCACGGCUAACUACGUGCCAGCAGCCGCGGUAAUACGUAGGUGGCAAGCGUUUUCCGGAAUUACUGGGUGUAAAGGGAGUGCAGGCGGGAAGUCAAGUCAGCUGUGAAAACUACGGGCUUAACUUGUAGACUGCAGUUGAAACUGGUAUUCUUGAGUGAAGUAGAGGUAGGCGGAAUUCCGAGUGUAGCGGUGGAAUGCGUAGAUAUUCGGAGGAACACCAGUGGCGAAGGCGACCUGCUGGGCUUUUACUGACGCUGAGGCUCGAAAGUGUGGGGAGCAAACAGGAUUAGAUACCCUUGUAGUC
rnacentral:rRNA from 1 species